AGGAUGAACGCUGGCGGCGUGCCUAACACAUGCAAGUCGAACGUCCUGUCUCGCAAGAGGCAGGGAGUGGCGGACGGGUGAGUACCACGUGGGUCAUCUACCGUGAGGUGAGGAAUACCGGCGAGAAAUCGCCGACAAGACCGCAUAGGCUCGAUGCAAGUCGAGCAAAGCUCUUUCGAGAGAGGGAGCGCCACACGAGGAGCCUGCGCCCGAUUAGCUAGCUGGUGGAGUAACGGUUCACCAGGGCGACGAUCGGUAGCUGGUCUGAGAGGACGAUCAGCCACACUGGGAUUGAGAACGGCCCAGACUCCUACGGGGGCAGCAGUGAGGAAUUUUCGUCAAUGGGGGCAACCCUGAACGAGCAACGCCGCGUGCAGGAAGAAGGUUUUCGGAUCGUAAACUGCUUUUCUCGGGGAAGAGAACGGACGGUACCCGAGGAAUCAGCCCCGGCUAACUACGUGCCAGCAGCCGCGGU
rnacentral:rRNA from 1 species